rnacentral:rRNA from 1 species
GACGAACGCUGGCGGCGUGCUUAACACAUGCAAGUCGAACGGAAAGGCCCUGCUUUUGUGGGGUGCUCGAGUGGCGAACGGGUGAGUAACACGUGAGUAACCUGCCCUUGACUUUGGGAUAACUUCAGGAAACUGGGGCUAAUACCGGAUAGGAGCUCCUGCUGCAUGGUGGGGGUUGGAAAGUUUCGGCGGUUGGGGAUGGACUCGCGGCUUAUCAGCUUGUUGGUGGGGUAGUGGCUUACCAAGGCUUUGACGGGUAGCCGGCCUGAGAGGGUGACCGGCCACAUUGGGACUGAGAUACGGCCCAGACUCCUACGGGAGGCAGCAGUGGGGAAUAUUGCACAAUGGGCGGAAGCCUGAUGCAGCAACGCCGCGUGCGGGAUGACGGCCUUAGGGUUGUAAACCGCUUUCGCCUGUGACGAAGCGUGAGUGACGGUAAUGGGUAAAGAAGAACCGGCUAACUACGUG